rnacentral:lncRNA from 1 species
AUUACGAAAAUAGGUUUCAAGAGAUGAUUUAAAAAGACUUCUUGGAAACGAAAAGUCGAUAUCUAAGCUCUUUGAGAUAUUGUUAAAUUCCACAAGGCCUCGAAAAAUAGGCGCAAAAGAUGAGUAGUUAGUCUUAACGGCAUUUUAAAUCAUCGGCAUACAAUAAAAAGCUGGCGUGUUUGAAACAGGAGCUAAUAUCGUUUAUAUACAGGACAAACAAUAGGGGGCCAAGAAUGCUACCCUGGGGUACACCUGAUGUUACAACAAAGGGAUUAAAUUUACAAUCAUCGAUAUAUACAGACAGAGUCCUAUUUGUAAGCAAUAAUAGGUGUGGUACCUUAUCGAAGGCUUUAGAAAAGUCCGUAUAAAUGGUGUCUACCUGCGAGCCAUCUUUGAAGGAAGAAACACAAAAUUCUGAAAAAGAAGCUAAAUUAGUGACCGUUGAACGACCAGCUACAAAACCAUGUUGGUGGGGCUCAAUCAUUCUUUUGGCAAGAAAAAGAGAGUUUAAAAUGUAUCACUUUUUCGAAUAGCUUUGAGCAGACAGACAGUUUCGAAAUAGGCCUAUAAUUUGUGAUAUCCUUUCUAUUUCCAGAUUUAAAGGCUGGGGUUAUAGAGGCAAUUUUCCAUCUGUUAAUAAAUAAUCCAGUCGAAAGUGAUAGGUUGAAAAUAUGACGAAGGAAUACAUAACGACAGACUACAUCGUUUAACGAAGUGGGCACAAAAACCAUCAGAAUCACAUUUCACUGUCGGAGUUAGGGUAGACAUGGCGUAAGUAAUGUCAGAUGUCGAGACAAUCAACGAGCCAAGAUCUAGGCGUUGGGUCGGCCAGUAAUUUCGUGGUAGAUUUAUAGAAUCACUCCCAGAGGCGAAAUUCGAGCUGAAAAAUUUUGUAAAAAGUUCCACAGUAUCUGGUAGAGAUUUCGAAGAUUGACCGUUAAAGAACAUGCAAGUCGGAAUAUUAGAACUGCCCCGCUUAGAGCGUACGAAAUUCAAAAAAGCUUUUGGGUUGUCUUUUUUAAGUUCAGAAUCAAGUCUCCUAAUGUACUGGUUAUAAAGAAAUUUAUCAAGAACAUUAAACUGUUUCGCAUAGUUAAGGUAUUGCUCUUUGAGAUGAGUAUUGUGAAUAUUUGCCAUAUGGCGCUUGUAGCAUUUAUAUCUCUUAUUUUUCAGAUUUUUUAGAGUGACAGAGUACCAGGUAAUUUAUGAGGCUUGGAGGGUAAAGCAGCCAGUUGCUCAGAGAAGACUUCAGACAUAAUGCAAAGAAAGGUUUCAUAAGAGGCAUUAACAUCUUUUGAAUUGAAGAUAUCACACCAAUUUACGUUAUUUAUAGCCAGGUUUAUGACGUCGUAAUUUGCAUCACGAAAAUUGUAGGAAAUCCUAUUAUUUUGCCUUAAGGGAAGCUUAUCAAAAAACUCUAAAGAAAGGGGAUUAUGAUGCAUAUCAGAAUAACAGAUCGGAGUCUUACAUGCAGAGAGAUUAGAUAUCAAAUUUUCGUCUACAAACACUAGAUCUAAUAAUUUAGAUAACUUAUUGAAUAUGCAAUUAAUUUGCGUAAGAUUAAGGCU